CGGGACCAGUUCUGUCGAGUGUCUCUCAAUGAGAGGAACCCAGAAGAAUAAGAAUAUUUGGCUAACCGUGGUUCGAGGAUUCGCCUUCGUCGUCGGGGUAAUCGGCGGAAAGCAAAGCGGGCGAGGAAGGCGAUCCCAAGAGAGAAAAGAAGGCGUGACGAGAGACAUGGGAUUCCUCUUCCGGGUGAGGUUGGCGUCCUUCUUUGUGGGCGGCGCCUCGGCGUCCGUUGCUGGUUAGUGUCUCGUUGACAAAGAUUAUAUGCUCGCCCACGACGCCAUCGCCCACCAGAAUCUGAAGCAAAGGAAGUGAACAAGAGAAGAGGAGAGAUCAUAUGCUUGCUCCUUAUAUUCUCCCUAUGCUUUAGCUUCACAUUCUCCGAUUCCCUGACAAAAUAUAAGAGAAAAAAAAACAAAUACCAAACUUGGAGUACUGAGCAGUGGAAGUGCAUGCCUCUAGGAAUGGGAAAUUCAUGACAUCAAGUGAAAGGCAUCUAUGAAAAUUUUGAUGAAUGCUAUGAAGGCCCUUCACAGGCAUGUCAUAGCUUUGGAAAAUCAGAAGAAAAUGGAAACCUCAAAACCUGCAGAGGCAUCCGAUUAGAUAGAGAUGUUUGUUGCUUCUAAGCAGCCACUUUGCUUCCUCCCUGAUGUUUGUUCUGAUCACUGCACGAGGUUUGUUCUAAUCACUUCACUGCUAGUUAAGGAUGCUUGCAACAUUUUAUUUGAGUUGGAUUCAGAAAAAAAGGGUAAGAAACUUCAUCAUGCACUUUGCAAUGUUUUUUCCGGUGUUUGUUGACUCUGCCAUCAUGGCUCUCUUGUGUAUAAGCUGUGGCCAAAUUGAGUGAUCGUUCAAGGUUGCUCACCAUAGUUGCACAAGAACCCAAAAAAUGAAUCUAUUCAACAGGUGAAUACUUGUGCCUAAUAACUUAUUACUAUCCAAUCAGAUACAGUGUUAAAUCCGAUGUAGUUUUUCUAGGUGUAUCUACUUACACCAUUCAUUGUCUUCAUCGGAUGAACAUCUGUAACAUGUUUAAACAGUCCAUUGCUUUUCAUUGUAGUAUUCCAUCAUUUUGCAUAUAACUUUCCACUGAUUGGGCUUCUAUUUCCAGUUUUUUUUUUUCUGCAGAGAGCCCCUCAAUUUGCAGAAAGUAAAUCUUAUCUAUCGCGAAAUGCACUGGACCGGUCUGGCUGCUGAAGCGGUCCAGCGUUAUUCGGGUUGAGCAAACGAAGCAACGGGUUCAAUCCCCUUCCUACGCCAUAAAAUGCUGCACUGCUUCUGCUUUGGAUGCUUUAAUUCCCUUUUCAGUUUUCUUUCUCCAGGAACUGUUUCUCCGCAAUAAUCUCUUUGAAGGCUGAUGCAGCAUAUAUACCCUUCCUUUUUCCCUGUUGAAGACGGUGGAUCCUGUUUCGUCCCCUAUUGCAUUUCGACGCUUUGGAGAUUUCCUCUCUUUCAAGCUGGUCGGUUCCACCACCACAAUCUUUGUAAGAGUCAUCGAAGCCACGAAGCCUUACAGACCUCACCUCUCUCGGUAAAGGCUUUCCCCCGCAAACAUUGUAUAACUGGAUUAGUCACUCCAAUUCUUUUUUUUUCUUUUUUUUUUAUUUCAUCUUUGGCUAAUUAUCAUUAUUUUGCUCCCAUUUUCUGAAUAAAAUAAUCCACGCCUAUUUGGGUUAUUAAA